UACGGGGGGGGCAAGCGUUGUUCGGAAUUACUGGGCGUAAAGGGCGCGUAGGCGGCCUGCUAAGUCGGAUGUGAAAUCCCUCGGCUCAACCGAGGAACUGCAUCCGAUACUGGCGGGCUUGAAUCCGGGAGAGGGAUGUGGAAUUCCAGGUGUAGCGGUGAAAUGCGUAGAUAUCAGGAGGAACACCUGUGGUGUAGACAGCUUACUGGACCACGACUGACGCUGAGACACGAAAGCGUGGGUAGCAAACAGG
rnacentral:rRNA from 1 species